UUCUAUACACAAACAAACAUAAAUUAUUAAAAGUGAGAGAGAAGAAGUUUUAUAUUUUUACAAAAAAAAAAAAAAAAUAAUAUAUAAUAAUAAUAAGAGAGAAUAAGUUACAUAUACUAUAUAUGUAUGCAUGGAAAAUAAAAUAAAAAGAAAAAAGCGUGAGACAUAUAUACAGUGUGUGGCAAGUUUUAUUUGCUAAGAGAAAACCCACUUUUGGAGCUCCCUUCACUCCAAUACAAAAAGAUCAAGGCAACCCUAUCUCCAAAUUCAUGCAAACCUAUGACUUUUGUAAACUUCCAAUUAGCAAAGUCAAAGGUAUCCAUGAACAAGCUGCAAGGGUCAACCAUCACCUCCUUUUAGAGUUGGAGUGCAGAGAACUCCAAAUUGAGUUUAUAUAAUAAACUCUCAAAACCUAUAGAUUAAUUGCCCAAACUAUAAGAAAGAAACAACAAAAUUCCUCAAUAAUAAUAA